rnacentral:rRNA from 1 species
AACGAACGCUGGCGGCAUGCCUAACACAUGCAAGUCGAACGAGACCUUCGGGUCUAGUGGCGCACGGGUGCGUAACGCGUGGGAACCUGCCCUUAGGUUCGGAAUAACUCCCCGACAGGGGUGCUAAUACCGGAUAAUGUCUUCGGACCAAAGAUUUAUCGCCUUUGGAUGGGCCCGCGUUGGAUUAGCUAGUUGGUAGGGUAAAAGCCUGCCAAGGCGACGAUCCAUAGCUGGUCUGUGAGGAUGAUCAGCCACACUGGGACUGAGGCACGGCCCAGACGGCGAAGGGAGGCAGCAGGGGGGAAUACUGAACAAGGGGCGAAGGGCUGAUGAUGCAGGGCCGCGUGUGGUAUGCUGGCUUUGGGGUUGAGAAGCCCUCUUGGCCGGGAUGAUGGUGACAGUAGCGGGAGAAUAAGCUCCGGCUAACUCCGUG